UAACCAACCUGGCAGGGGCAAUACCAUGAUCAAGGAGGUGGUUUGCCCAAAGUGAGGCUCAGCCGUUGCACUCAGACUGCGCUGACCUUUGCGAAUUCCCCAAAUCAGGAAUCUCGACUGCAUAAUUUCUGAUUGUGGGGUACUGCGUUCGCGCUCUCCCCUU